rnacentral:tRNA from 1 species
GUCCCCAUAGCUUAAUGGAUAAAGUGCAACUUUGCGGAAGUUGUGAUGAAGGUUCGACUCCUUCUGGGGACA